UCCGCCCAGGCUUGAGGACCAGACCCACAGACAGCGCUGGAGAUUCGGCUCUGUGGGGUCAGUGGGGAGUCCUGGAGGCACAGAUUUUUCCUAAAAGCACAGUGGAUGGACGGGGAGAGAGCCCUGGCUUGUCGGUGGGAAGAGGGCCUCCCUCUGGCUUGAUCAGAGACCAUUCUGGGGGCAGAAAGGUGGAGACUAGUAGCGCCCCCUCCCCAAGCCUGUCCUCAUAGGUCGCGCCCCCAUCCAGUCGUCGCUAAGACCCCACCCCAGCUUCAAGACCCCCUACUCGCCGAACCUCCCUCGGUAGUCCGCGGAUGCUCGCCCGCAGUCGGAGGGCGGCUCGGCCUUCGCGGCUCAGCCACUCCCCCCACGCCGAGGCCUAGGAUUCCCCCCACCCCCCAACUCCGCGCGCAGCCC